rnacentral:lncRNA from 1 species
CAGUAUGAGGGCCGGAACUCUGGAGGAAGAGGAAAGAGGAUCUCUAGGAAUUCAAGGCCAGCCUAAUCUACAUAGUGAACUCCAGGCCAGCCAAGGCUACACUGUAAAACCCUGUUCCAAACAAAGAAACAAAUAAAUAAACAAACAAAUAGAAACUUUGCAUGUACUCCAGGCUGGACCUGAACUCAUAGAGAUCCACCCGCCCCAGCCUGAAGUGCUAGGAUUAAAGGUGUGUGUCUCCUCUACCGCCCAACACCCUCAAUUCUCUUAAUGAUAGACUGUGACUCAGAGUUUAAGAUGAACACACCCUUUUGGUCAUGCUGUUUUAUCACAACAAUAAGAAACAAACCAGGCAGGAGAGAUGGCUAAGUGGUUAAGAGCACUGACUGCUCUUCUGGAGGUCCUGAGUUCAAAUUCCAGCAACCACAUGUUGGCUCACAACCAUCAGUAAUGUAAUCAGAUGCUCUCUUCUGGUGUGUCUGAAGACAGCUACAGUGUAUUUACAUAUAAUAAGCAAGUAAAUCUUAAAAAAAAAAAAAACAAAAAAAGAAAAGGAACAAACCAAGAUGACAGCUAACCAAUAAACAAAAGUACUUUCUUGGUUUUCAAAAAAUGUACAAUAAUUUCACAAACAGAAAUGUUAGACACCAAAUGCAAAUCCAACAUGAUUUUUAUUUCGUAAGUUCUGAAACUUAAAGAAGUGGUUAGACUCUCUAGACAUACUAAACCUUUAAAAAAAAAAAAACCCUGGCAAUUUGAAACACAUACUUUAAAGUCUGAAAGAAAACCUAGGCAAUAAGGUAACUGUAAUGAUAAUCACACACCCCCUCCCCCCCAAAAAAAGUCAUGGUUAGUAAUUUCAGUGAAGCUAUAAGCAGGUCAUCAUGAAUACCAGUUUUCUUUUUGAGCAAAGUGAAUGAAGAAAUUGCAGCAGAUUCAAUUUAAUAGAAAUGAUCACCCUAAAUUACAGUCAUUUCAUAUACUAAGAUGAAAAAGAUUGUUUUCAAUUGCAUGUAACUAUACCUAUGGUCAAAAAUGGUUCAGAAUUGAUAGACUUCACAGAGUUGGUGGCAGCAUCUCACCUCCUUAAGGGCAAGAAAACACAUUUAUUCCCCCCUCACCGCCCCUCCUCAAAGGGUAAGGGAAGGGUCUCAUGGAUGCAGGCAUUCUGAAGACAGGCCUUGCAGGAGAGAUGGAAUUUGAACUGCCAAGAUGAGUGAGAGAGGAAAUGUUGAGACAAAAGAAAUACCUCAGAUAAAUGUUCAGAGCUGGGAAAAUACAUCUAACUUCUCAAACACUUAGAAAGCCCCUUUACCUGAAACAGAGCAUGAGAGUUAAAAAAUAAUCACACAAAUUGCAGACGUAGGUCAAUGGUAAAGCUCUUGCAUAGCAUAUCAAAGGCCUGGGUUCUAUUUCCCACACCAAAAUAUUAAAAAGUAAUCAUAAUUUCCUCCUUGUCCAGCAGGUAGGCCUUGUGGUAUCAGUCUGCUGUGCCUCUUCAUUGGAAGUAGAAUCUGCCUCCGCAUGUCUUCGAGGCUGGUUGUGCAACUUUCUUUGGCUCAACUGGGUUGACUUUAUGUGACUUGCAAACCUUGACCUCGAGAGACUUUGCAUGCUUCAAAACUCAUGUUCCAUGACCCCACCUGCUGUUAUGUGGACAAGGUCAGGGCAGCCUGCUGAAGUUUGAUUCCAUCAAACCUAGCCAUGCAGCCAAUAACCAGUCAAGCACCAGGCUUGCAAAGAAGCCUGCUACCCAAGACUCCCAGUCUCAGGUAAAUUAGCAACAGAUCACGUGUUACUAAAAGAUGACAAGAAUGACUGACCCCACCUAGACUACUAGAAUUACCACACUGACCAGUAGCCAUUGUUAAAGCUACUGGGAUUUCAGGAGUGUGUUGCUGGGCAUAUGAAAGGCAAUUUAGUAACUAGUAAUCUUGUUGAAAUAGGAGUAAUAGCCAGGCUUGGUGGCACACGCCUUUAAUCCCAGCACUUGGGAGGCAGAGGCAGGCAGAUUUCUGAGUUCGAGGCCAGCCUGGUCUACAAAGUGAGUUCCAGGACAGCCAGGGCUACACAGAGAAACCCUGUCUCGAAAAAAACAAAAACAAAAACAAAACAAACAAAAAAAGAAAUAAAGAAAAGAAAUGGGAAAUAGGAAUAAUAGAAAAAGUGGGCAAGCAGAUGCCCUCCUCAGAUUUCUUUAGAAUUAGAACUGAAAUCUCAAAACUUUCAUGAUCACUUGUUCCUUUCUUCUUGAAGAUACCAAGGCAAAAUGACCUUAGAAACUUCUUUUCUCAGCCACCUUUGGAACGCCAGUCAGUGGAGCCAAUUCCUGGAAGCUCUCUGUGCACAGGCUGUGUUGCUAUCUACAGAUCUGUCACCCGGCCAGAGUGCCCUCUCUCCUCCUGCUGGUCCUUUGCUUGGGCUUUGCCUUGCUGGGUCUCUCCACUGAGUCAGCUCUCAUCGAUCACUCUCUGCUCUGCAUGCUUUUCUGUACAGCUGGUCUUGCUCAUUUGUGACUUGCUGACCCACAAAUUUCUUUGCUUGAGACAGACUUUUUUGAGACACUAUUUCUUUUUUUGAGUUCCUAGACUAUCCUGGAACUUUCAAUCUGAUGGCCCUAGCCUCCCCAGCUUCAUUGGUGUAUUUUAAAAUAUUUCUAUGUCUUUAUCUUUCUGUAUCUCUCUCCCAAUAAGAUUGCUUGCAAGGCCUUUAAGGAUACAGAAUGGGUCUUAUAAUUCUCUCUGCUGCCAGCUUUGUAAGUAGUUAACUUGACAAUUAGCAAAACUAAUAAGCUCAUUACAUCCUUCUGUUUCUGUAGGUGGCCGAUGUAUAUAGGUGUGAAUUUUCUACAGGAUGAUUUUCUGGCUUUUUUGUUAUUUUAAGUGGCCCAUAGCAUUAAGGUUAUGCCAUUUGUUUCUGUCAAGCUUAAUUAAGCCCAUUAUAAUUCAUUAACCCCCGUGCUUGCUUUUUAAUUAACAUUGAUUAACACAAACAAGUACAAAAUAGGCCAUCAGCACUUUGCAGAAGUGCUGAUUCUGAUUGUAUUGGUAAUUCAAUACCGUGUUGAAGAUGGCAGGAUAGUAAUUUGUACUCUAUUUCCACGAGGAGACGAAUGCUGUGGUGUAAAAGGAAGUCAAGUCAGGAAACACUCCGCUCAUCCAUUUCACCUGAUGAAGCCUUUCCCCACCAACUUUUGCUAUGGUGGCUUAAACAUUGGGUAAGAUUGCUGAAGCCCAAAGUCAAAUUCCUGCCUGAAUCUACUUCUGUGUCCUGGCCCAAUGUCAAAUUCUUGCCAAGUUUCUAGAAGUGGCCGCAAAGGGUCUCCACACUCAUCUGAGGGGAAAUGUUCUUCUCUGUCAAGGAUUCCCAAUUAGGAACUGCAGCUCGCCACUUCAAGUCAUUUCUUCUGGAUGUUCUAAAUGCCGAUCUGAUGAUGUUAUCCAUCUGCUACUUGUUGGUCUUUUAUUUUUCAUUGGUUCAUGUUUAAUAAACUUACCAAUUUAAAGCUGAAAAUACAUCUCUCCGAGAUGAUAAAGAUGGC